AGUGAACGCUGGCGGUAGGCCUAACACAUGCAAGUCGAACGGCAGCACAGUAAGAGCUUGCUCUUACGGGUGGCGAGUGGCGGACGGGUGAGGAAUACAUCGGAAUCUACUUUUUCGUGGGGGCUAACGUAGGGAAACUUACGCUAAUACCGCAUACGACCUACGGGUGAAAGCAGGGGAUCUUCGGACCUUGCGCGAUUGAAUGAGCCGAUGUCGGAUUAGCUAGUUGGCGGGGUAAAGGCCCACCAAGGCGACGAUCCGUAGCUGGUCUGAGAGGAUGAUCAGCCACACUGGAACUGAGACACGGUCCAGACUCCUAAGGGAGGAAGCAGUGGGGAAUAUUGGACAAUGGGGGCAAGCCUGAUCCAGCCAUACCGCGUGGGUGAAGAAGGACUUCGGGUUGUAAAGCCAUUUUGUUGGGAAAGAAAAGCAGCAGGUUAAUACCCCGCUGUUCUGACGGUACCCAAAGAAUAAGCACCGGCUAACUUCGUG
rnacentral:rRNA from 1 species